rnacentral:lncRNA from 1 species
AUCCGGAUCAAAUUACAUCCUGCAGGGGAGUACCCUGGUCACCAGUUAUGUACGACUGUCCAGGUCGUACGUAACGACCUUUCAAUUAGCAAAACCAAGGAUUAGGAAUAAGACUACCCGGACCCAGGGACGCACCCCCACAUGGGACCCCACGUCUGGCCUGAUCUCCAUGUGAGUUUCAGGCUAUGCCCCUGCCAAUCUUUAGCACGUCAAGCACGGGUAUGAAGUAU